UGACAAAUACCGGAACUCAGAUGUUGCC
rnacentral:piRNA from 1 species